rnacentral:lncRNA from 1 species
CACACACACACACACACACACACACACACACACACACACACACACACACACACACACACACACACACACACACUUCUCAACUGGGCAGUACUGUGUGUCUGCAUCUUCACCAAAAUCGAAUCAAUUCGUCCUUGUCACACACAAACCUAUCCACCCAGUUUCAUCCGAAUACGUCCAUAACAUUUUGAGAUAUCCUGUCGCAGAUAAACAGACAAACAGUGAACUUUUCCACAUCCUGCACUCAUCUCAUCAUCAAGAAACCAGAUAAAAGUGAAAAAUUCCUUGCCGCUUGUGCAGCAGGGAUAUGGGUUUUGCAAAAAGAUUACAUCCUGGAGAGUGCACAGAUUGGGCACUGGCUAAAUGAAGAGAACUUUGAAUGGUUAUGUGAGCCUGGAGGUGUCUCAGAAUCUGCAAGCCACCAUGAGGUGUCUCAUCUGUGGAGGAAGCAUAUUGCUACUCAAGGAGGCAGAGGUGCCUUCUUUGGCUGGAAAGUCGUGCUGGAACAGUUUGUGGAUGAGCAGCUCUACUGGAGACUUCUCAGGAUAUUACUGGCUGGACAAGCCAAGAUUUACCCCAAAAUUCCAUCAGACAAGGAUGUGACGUUUGUCAUUCGGAUGGACAAGCGUACCUUCUCUCCGUCUGUGGAAGGAUUGCCGUGUGUAACAGCCACAUACAUAGGAAAGCACUUAUUGAAGGGCCCCAUUCUGUCCCUGGAUAAAAGCCUCCAAGCAAACGGUGCAGGCAUUCUUGCAAGAGCCACGAGCGGAGACCGGAACCCCGAAGAGGCUGCCAAUGAUUUGUUAUCCACAGGAAGUGCUUUGGGAAGCUUUGAGCAGCAAGCAUGCUGUGAGAUACAAGAGGAGUUGCAGACCGAAAGUAUUCCCUGUAAUCCAAUCAAGAAGUUUCGUCGCUGCAGGGAGGACAGUGAGGAACUGAACAAUGCGUCCAAUGUACUGCUGAACGAGCGUGUAGAAACGUUAAACAAUUUCAUUAGCAGCAAGCAGGUAAGCACGCUUCAGUGCAUACUCACCUGAAUGAUCGAUCAUUACCCGUUCGUCAUCGACACCUCUAAUUUACUACCCAUUUUCACUAUGUUCAGUUUAUGUGCAGUUUCUACCAUGGCUCUUACACAGUUGACUGCAGUUUCAGCGAGACAACAAUGUGUCAUCAGGUAAGGCAUUGAUUGAACUUUCUUUAUAAUCCCGUCUUCAAGUGCAUGCUGUUUAUUUUCAAAUCUGGUUUGCUGCAUGCAAUACCUUCUUUUUUCAAUCUUGUUUUUGCGGAUUCAGGUCCGAAAAAUGAGGCAGUCUGCAGUGAAAAGGGUACAAAACAAGAUUGAUUGUGAAUAUAUUACUCAGGCCUUGAGUGAUAUUCGCUCGAAUAUUUGUGUGAAAUUGCGUCCGGGGGGGGGGGGGGGGGGGGGGGGGGGGGGGGGGGGGGGGGGGGGGGGGGGGGGGGGGGGGGGGGGGGGGGGGGGGGG